CCCCUCUCAGGGUCGCACCUGGAGAGUUUCCGGUAUUCUAUUAGUCUCGACUAAGGAAGGGAGAGUCAAGCAAAGACUUACCCAUUCCAUUCCUAGCUUAGGCCGUGGCUAGGGAGUGGAAGUUAAUUUGUUACAAUU